rnacentral:rRNA from 1 species
AGAACGAACGCUGGCGGCACGCCUAACACAUGCAAGUCGAGCGCCCAGCAAUGGGAGCGGCGGACGGGUGAGUAACACGUGGGAACAUGCCUUUCGGUACGGAACAACUGCGGGAAACUGCAGCUAAUGCCGUAUACGCCCUUACGGGGAAAGAUUUAUCGCCGAAAGAUUGGCCCGCGUCUGAUUAGCUAGUUGGUGAGGUAACGGCUCACCAAGGCUUCGAUCAGUAGCUGGUUUGAGAGAACGACCAGCCACAUUGGGACUGAGACACGGCCCAAACUCCUACGGGAGGCAGCAGUGGGGAAUCUUGGACAAUGGGGGAAACCCUGAUCCAGCGAUGCCGCGUGAGUGAUGAAGGCCUUCGGGUUGUAAAACUCUUUCGACGGGGACGAUAAUGACGGUACCCGUAGAAGAGGCUCCGGCUAACUUCGUGCCAGCAGCCGC